CCUACGGGGGGCUGCAGUAGGGAAUCUUCCACAAUGGGCGAAAGCCUGAUGGAGCAACGCCGCGUGGGUGAAGAAGGUCUUCGGAUCGUAAAACCCUGUUGUUAGAGAAGAAAGUGCGUGAGAGUAACUGUUCACGUUUCGACGGUAUCUAACCAGAAAGCCACGGCUAACUACGUGCCAGCAGCCGCGGUAAUACGUAGGUGGCAAGCGUUAUCCGGAUUUAUUGGGCGUAAAGGGAACGCAGGCGGUCUUUUAAGUCUGAUGUGAAAGCCUUCGGCUUAACCGGAGUAGUGCAUUGGAAACUGGGAGACUGGAGUGCAGAAGAGGAGAGUGGAACUCCAUGUGUAGCGGUGAAAUGCGUAGAGAUAUGGAAGAACACCAGUGGCGAAAGCGGCUCUCUGGUCUGUAACUGACGCUGAGGUUCGAAAGCGUGGGUAGCAAACAGGAUUAGAUACCCGGGUAGUC
rnacentral:rRNA from 1 species